AUUUUCUGCAAAAGAUUUUCUGCAAAGUUAUUUUCAUUUUUCUCACUGUUCUCAGAUAUGCUCUUACUUUGAAAAACUAUAACUUCUUUUGCAAGAUCAAAGCCAUCAUACAUACCUGAAGCAGAACUCAGGAGAUGGAGAACACAGAAGUGCCCCAUAUUAAUGUGCCAGCUGCAGGAACAGGAAGGCAGCGCUGCAGUGUAUCAUAUCUGGAGAUUUUCCCAAAGAACAAGAAAGGCCAGAAAAGACAUCUCUAAGGUCAUGCCUAGUGAGGGGAAUAUAAAUACAUCCUUCAAGCUCAAGAUUAUCAGCAAGCCAAACAGCAGGGAAGGGCAAAGAAAAGAUAUGGUCUGCUUCAGUAUCAGGAAGAAACCAAGCUCACUUUCUCCCCUGAGAAGAUCUCAUGCAAUUCCUGAAUUCUGGUAUCACAAUUACUUAAAUCAUCACGGUGAAAAAAGAAUAAGAAUAACAAACAAGCUGUCAUCAUCUGUGUUUCAAAUCACUUAAUGUCCAUGCAUUAAUAACACACAUCAACCGGAUGCAGCCAAGGUCAGUAAAGAAAUCAGUCUGAGCUAAAUUCCUGUUGUGCUUUCAGCUUAGAGUCUGGUUCCUAAAUGCUGUCUGCAACACACAGGGACCCAAAACUUUGCUUCCAAAUGCAGCUUGAGAGUAGAUAUUCCAAACAGCUCUGGCUGGCAUAAUUCUUUUUUGCCACAGUACAAAACCUCAGUCCAGAGAGUACUGUGUAUACUGCACUAAGCCACUGCUGUGUUUGACCUAUUAAGUAAAAAACAUCACUCUGAAUCCAGAGUCUUGAGUGUUGUCUUCUCAACUGCACAGCCCAGGGCACAUACUGGGGUCACAUAUUCCUUCAGACUUUUUCUAUACAUUCAUUGUGAUAUCUUUUUGCUCUGUGGGGGCGGUGUGGGUGAGGCAGGUGGAGGCUUACUCCAAUAUGGGGGUACAGUGCUGCACCUGACAAGCAACAUGAAGCAUGCAUAGAUGUCCAGCAAACAGAAAGAGUGAAAGUAACACAGCUCAAAUCCAUCCUGGCUGUGAUCUGCAGUGACAGCUUUCUGUUAUGGAUUUGCAAUAAAUCAUUGCUGUUCCUGAUUUAUUAGUACA
rnacentral:lncRNA from 1 species